CAAACAUAAACCUGACUCACAGGAUCCCCACUACCAAGAGGGGAGACGCAUGGCUCUUGAACUGAAAUUAGACCAUGCUCUAGCUGAAGCCAUGACAUCAUCUGUGGAGAGGAAACGUGCACGCUCUGAAGGAGACCCUCCACAGACCUCCAGAAGGGACCUUUUAGGGCGCGGCAAGCCAAGGGGGAGGCAAGGAGGGCGACGGCAAGCUUCAGCUCCAGUCACACACCCUCCUCUUGAGUACUCCUCAUCAUCCAGUGUGGACGUCCCACUUACUGUACCCUCAGCAAAACUAAAUCCUCAAGAGGAAUUUGAAAAAAAUAUGGAGAGGCUCUCUAAUAUUUUGGCAUCUUAUCCUUCUGCUGAGCCUCAAAGAAGCUCUGCAUCAUCAUGGUCUUUUCGGCAGCAGAAAGCCUCAGAUCGCUGGAAAGAAGCAAGACCAUACCACCUAAAAUGCCUUAUUGUGUUGGCUUUGCCAUGAGCCUGCUGUUAUUAGGUGUACAGAGUGUCUUCCCGAGGAGUGGUUCUGUGGGGAGUGUGAUGUAUUACGUCACAAAAAACAGCCACUCCACAACAGGGAAUGUGUCAUUCAUGGAUUUUUUGAAGCCAUUCCACCAACCUCAUAUGCCAUUAAAGGGGAAGAUGGAUAUCGCAUCCAUGAGCAAGGACGUUUUGACUUGCAUCCGCCACUAUAUGUAUGUCAAACGUGCCAGCAUCAGUGGACCCCUGAAUUGAAGGACCUCAAGAUUGGCAGAAGAACACAGGGAAAAGGCACAUGUGGGGACUCCCAGUGGACAGCAGCAAGGGAGACAUCGAGGAGGGCUUCCAAAUUGGAUGAAGAGGGGAUGGAGGUUGCUGUGUGUCGCCACAGAUUCCUUCUGAAAGCCCUUAAUAUGUACAGAUUGUUUUGUGUAUCCUUUUGCUGUGUGCACUUGGCCUGUUUUGAAUCAUACAACGUCCUGAUUAUUGUGUAACACUGUUUAUCAGACUUGUCAGAGACUCCAGGAUGAAACGGCAAGGCUAGCUGAACUAAAAGCAGAGUUGCUUUGCACAGAUAAAGUGGUGUCACAAUGGCUUUCUGAUGUGAAGGAAUGGGCAGCUGGCGAUAAAGGUAAGACAAUAGGCUGAUCAUCUAUGGAUUAUAGCAAACUACAUGUCACCAUCAGAUGUUCUGCCACAUUUAUGUUGGGUAUUUCAGUUUCCCUGCAGGAAGUGCACAUACCAAGUUCAGUGAAGUUGGAUUAAAAGGAGUUUUAAAUACAAAUACGAAUUCAAACACUGAAACGGUUCUGUGUUGUUUUAACAGUUAAUUUGCUGUCACCAUUAUUU